GCACACACUAAUUUGCACUUGAUUAAAAAUGGACAUGUGCCACAAAAUAGUCUACAUUUAUUUAAUAAUAGCAACAUCUGUAUCUUCAUCAGAAGGUGUUUCUGGGGAGAUUUUCCCAGCAGAAAUAUUUGCACCAUUCACAGUGAAAUUUGGUGAGGAUACAGCAUUAAAGUGCAGAGUUAUCAACUACCAUGAGAUCUCACAUACAGAAGUUCACAUGUAUUUGUGUAAAAAUGGUGUUGGAGAGAGAGUAAAACUACUUGGGAGUAAAGAUGAACACAUCUUUACUUUGAGGAACAUUUCAUUCCAAGACUCUGGUAA